UUGUUUAAGUAUUAUUACAAAUUAAACUGUUUUUCUAUUUGAAUGUAUUUUAAAAUGUAAUUUAUUUUUGGGACGACAAAUGCUAUAUUUUCAGCAGCAAUUACUCCGGUCUUCGGUGUCACACAAUCCUUCAGAAAUCAUUCUUAGCAUUUGUUGCUCAGAAACCUUUCUUAUUAUUAUCAGUAUUGAAAACAGUUGAGCUGCCUAAUAUUUUUGUGGAAGCCAUGAUAGCCAUGAUCUUUCAGAGAUUUGAUGAAUAUAACAUUUGGUCAAAUUAAUGCAUCCUAGUUGAAUUCAGGAAUACAAGUUAUUGUCAUUUAAUUUAAAUUUUUAUUUUAUUACUUAAAAAGAAAUAUAAUUGACCCCUUUGAAUGGUAGUAUAUUUAUUUAUGAACAUUAUUUUUUUUUUCAGGUUUUAGUUCAUGAUUUAUGACUUUAUGCUGUUUCUCAGGAACCCCGGCACUGAAAAAACUGAUUUAAUUUCGACGGAGAGGAGGGAAAGAGUGCAGGAAAAACUGAAAGCGAGAGAGAAAGCACGUCUUACAUACAGAGAAAUCCUUCAAAGGGACACUUCUAACAGAUUUGCUGCUAUCUGGCCCUGAGCACACUGACUGGCCAUAACACU
rnacentral:lncRNA from 1 species